rnacentral:rRNA from 15 species
UUGUCGGGUAAGUUCCGACCUGCAUGAAUGGUGUAAUGACUUCCCCGCUGUCUCCAACAAAGGCUCAGUGAAAUUGAAUUGCCCGUGAAGAUGCGGGCAUUAUACAGCUAGACGGAAAGACCCCGUGCACUUUUACUAUAAACAUAUAUUGUAAAUAUUGCUUUUUUGUGCAGGAUAAGUGGUAGCUAUUGAUACCUUCAUGUAAAUGAAUUGUAGAAGCAUCCUUGAGAUACCACUCUUUAAAGUUUUAGUUACUAACUUUUUUAAGGACAUUUUAUGUUUGGUAGUUUAGCUGGGGCGGCUGCCUCCUAAAAAGUAACGGAGGCGUACUAAAGGUAAACUUAAACAAAAACAUUGUUGUUAAGCUCAAUGGCAUAUGUUUGCUUGACUGUAAGAAAGAUAUUUCGAGCAGAGACGAAAGUCGGUCAUAGUGAUCCGGUGGUUUUGUGUGGAAAAGCCAUCGCUCAACAAAUAAAAAGUACGCCGGGGAUAACAGGCUUAUGCCCCCCUAGAGCUCAUAUCGACGGGGGCGUUUGGCACCUCGAUGUCGGCUC